AAACGAUGCCAACCAGCGAUCCGCCUGAGUUCCUUAAAUGACUCGGCGGGCAGCUUCCGGGAAACCAAAGUUUUUCGGUUCCGGGGGAAGUAUGGUUGCAAAGCUGAAACUUAAAGGAAUUGACGGAAGGGCACCACCAAGAGUGGAGCCUGCGGCUUAAUUUGACUCAACACGGGAAAACUCACCCGGCCCGGACACCGUAAGGAUUGACAGACUGAGAGCUCUUUCUUAAUUCGGUGGGUGGUGGUGCAUGGCCGUUCUUAGUUGGUGGAGCGAUUUGUCUGGUUAAUUCCGAUAACGAACGAGACUCUGGCCUAUUAAAUAGUCGGUAUAUCCAGAAAAGUUUACCGUACUUCUUAGAGGGACAAACGGCGUCUAGCCGCGUGAAAUAGAGCAAUAACAGGUCUGUGAUGCCCUUAGAUGUCCGGGGCUGCACGCGCGCUACACUGAAAGAAUCAGUAUGCGCUUUAACCUAGUCCGGAAGGAUUGGGUAACCCGAGCAAAUUCUUUCGUGCUUGGGAUAGGGAAUUGCAAUUAUUUCCCUUAAACGAGGAAUUCCCAGUAAAUGCGGGUCAUAAGCUCGCGUUGAUUACGUCCCUGCCCUUUGUACACACCGCCCGUCGCUACUACCGAUUGGAUGACUUAGUGAGGUCUUAGGACCGACGUAAAGGAGCUUUCGCGAGUUCUUUUUCGUUGGAAAUUUGAUCGAACUACGUUAUCUAGAGGAAGUAAAAGUCGUAACAAGGGUUUCCGUAGGUGA
rnacentral:rRNA from 1 species